rnacentral:lncRNA from 1 species
AAAAUGUUUAAAACUCAAUUUUACCCAAGGCAGAUGUGCUAAACUAACCUAAUAUUUUAUUACAUUGUCUACUAGGUUUAUUUUAUCUGUCUCCUCUGUUUUACCUUGGGGUUCAGCAUCUGUACAGGACCUGUAAGGCAGUUGCUGUUAUUCCUGUCACUGCCAUGUAGCCUGCUAUAUAUGGAAAUUUGAAGAUGAAGCAGUGCCACCAGUUCAUGCCUCUGCAACCAGUACAUCAGAAAAUGUAAAAACAGC